rnacentral:rRNA from 1 species
GACGAACGCUGGCGGCGUGCUUAACACAUGCAAGUCGAGCGAGGUCCAACCGGUGGCAACACCGGGGAAGACCUAGCGGCGAACGGUGAGUAACACGUGAGAAACCUGCCCCGAAGUUCGGGAUAACCCGGGGAAACCCGAGCUAAUACCGGAUACCCACGAUUGGUCGCAUGGCCGAUCGUGGAAAGAACUUCGCUUCGGGAGGGUCUCGCGGCCUAUCAGCUUGUUGGUGGGGUAAACGGCCCACCAAGGCAUCGACGGGUAGCUGGUCUGAGAGGACGAUCAGCCACACUGGGACUGAGACACGG